AUUCCACCAGUUUAGAAGGUCCGUUUGCAGUUGGAGAUUCAGAUUGCCUCCCUUGAGGCGUCUGCCCUCCAGGCCUCCUUUUUCUUUUAGGGUGCCCACUUAGGAGUCCCAAUCCGCCCCACCCUUUACAGAACACCCAGGAAUUCUUGCCUCUGAGGAAUGAGCUCCUUACUUAACUUCUGAGCAAUAUCCCCAUAGGCUUUGGAGCCCUUCUGCCUUCAUCCACCUUCCCUGCUUCUGAGACUUCCAUCUCUAGCCCAAUUCAUCUGACAGAGGACUCCUUCCUUCUCUGAAGCUGGUCUGUGGCAGGAGAUAGCCCAGGGGACAGGCAGCAGGCAGGGUGCCGGUGGCUCUGUCUCUCUGCCACAUGGUGUGGAAUCUGGCAGACUACAGUUUCUUUCCCCUGCCUGUCAGGGGUCGGAGUGGAGAGGGCUGGAAGGGUUCAGGGGCAGCGGGAGAGAGCAACAGGGUAUGCACACCCGUGGAUGCAAACGCCUACGGGAGUCAAAGGUCACCAGAGUGGAAACUCACACCAGAGCCUGCCCCACCUGCCCAUUGUGUUCCCUUGGAAACGAACCAAGCCACACUGUGUACUGGGACUGCUGAUCUCUGUCUUGUGAUCUAUUAUCCUCUGACAACAGAAAAGUAAAUAAAUAAAUAAAUAAAUAAAUAAAUAAAUAAAUAAAUAAAUAAAUACAGCAUUGUUUCCUAGUG
rnacentral:lncRNA from 1 species